rnacentral:rRNA from 1 species
CCUACGGGAGGCUGCAGUGAGGAAUAUUGGUCAAUGGACGAGAGUCUGAACCAGCCAAGUAGCGUGAAGGAUGACUGCCCUAUGGGUUGUAAACUUCUUUUAUAUGGGAAUAAACUGUUCCACGUGUGGGAUUUUGUAUGUACCAUAUGAAUAAGGAUCGGCUAACUCCGUGCCAGCAGCCGCGGUAAUACGGAGGAUACGAGCGUUAUCCGGAUUUAUUGGGUUUAAAGGGAGCGUAGGUAGAUUGUUAAGUCAGGUGUGAAAGUUUGCGGCUCAACCGUAAAAUUGCAGUUGAAACUGGCAGUCUUGAGUACAGUAGAGGUGGGCGGAAUGCGUGGUGUAGCGGUGAAAUGCUUAGAUAUCACGAAGAACUCCGAUUGCGAAGGCAGUUCACUGGACUGCAACUGACACUGAGGCUCGAAAGUGUGGGUAUCAAACAGGAUUAGAUACCCUGGUAGUC